CUAUGUUCUUAUGCUUUCAUCUGAAAGUGUGGUGCAAUGAAUCUUUCAAAUGUAAUUAAUGAGGAUUAAAUAAAUAAAGAAAUAAUCAUUAGACGUUGAUCUACACAUCCGAGGAGGGCCUAUUUCUGAAAGAAAAUAUAGGUACUUUAUUAUUUAGUUUUCAGCUCGACUGUACCUUGUAAACAUUGAGUAGUUUCACAUUGUGACUAUUUAAACGUUUGGAUAAGUAAGACACGUUUUCAUUGUCAUCGUCAGGCCUGUGUCACUCCGCCGUAGGUAUGAAACACAUACCUGCAGCUCCCCGCCCGCGCCCCCCGCAGCCCCCUCGCGCGCCCCACAGCCCCCCAGGCGGGGCGGCCACUCCGGGAGGGCCAAUCACAAUCCAGUCGGCCGCCGCGCGCGAGACACGACACACGUGCGCGCUAUUUCUUGUUCGACGACCUUCAACGUUCUCUUUUAUUUGCAAGAUGGCCACCAAACCAAAGAAGCAGAGAAAAUACUGUGCAGUAUACAGUUGUAUGAAAACGGAUCGUGAACCAGAUUUAAAUUUUUUUCGUUUUCCUAGAGAUGCUAACAGGCGACGGACCUGGACAUUGGCAAUAGGUAGAGAAGAUUUACUAUCUAAAUGUGAUACUAUGAAUCACACAAGUUAUCAUGUAUGUUCAUUGCAUUUUGAAGAAUCAGCUAUUAAAAUUGUAAAACAACUCAAAGAAGAUGCAAUCCCAACUUUAUCCUUACCUGAUCUAUCUGAAGAUAAUAAAAAAGCAACUAAUUCAAUUGAGACUCAAACAGAAAUAUCUCUGAUAUCGACAGAGAAAACACAAGCAUCAGAUUUGCUCAGUGAAGAAGAAACGUCAAAUAAAAAAAGAAGAAAAAGAAAAACAAACGAUAAAUUGACCAGUAAUUUGAAACGAAAGAGAAAGGCAAGAAUUGAUUAAGAUAGAUUAAAAAAUAAAUUACAAUACCUUGUUCGUGUUUUCCAAUUGUACAUCUCUUGAAAUGCUACACCAUUGACCAGACUGCGUAUAUGCAUAAUUGAAAUUUAAUAACCGUAAUUCUAAACAAGAAAUAUGUAAAUGUAACUGUUAGUUAUUAUCUAUGAUAAAGAUCUAUUAUCGAUAUA